rnacentral:rRNA from 1 species
GACGAACGCUGGCGGCGUGCUUAACACAUGCAAGUCGAACGGAAAGGCCCUGCUGGCUGGGUCUUCGAGUGGCGAACGGGCGAGUAACAGGUGGGUGAUUUGCCCUGUACUUUGGGUUAAGCCUGGAAAACGGGGACCAUACCCGAAUAGGGCCUAUUUCCUGCGUGUUGGUUGGAAAGUUUUUCGGGUGUGGGAUGAUUUCGUGGCCCAAUGGCGGGUUGGGGGGGUAUUGGCCUACCAAGGCGGCGACGGGUCGCCGGCCUGGGGGGGUGGACGGCCACAUUGGGCCUGGGGUACGGCCCAGACUCCUACGGGAGGCAGCAGUGGGAAAUAUGGCACAAUGGGCGCAAGCCUGAUGCAGCGACGCCGCGUGGGGGAUGACGUCCUUCGGGUUGUAAACUCCUUUCGCUAGGGACGAAGCUUUUUGUAACGGUACCUAGAUAAGAGGCACCGGCUAACUACGG